GGGCACCACAAGCUCGGAUAUAUCGCUUUAGCCGAACUACUGCAGGAUGGUCCUCUCCUCUUCGAGAGCCCUGAAAUAAAGAGGUUGGAAGGAUACUCCAAAUCACCAAAGAAAAAUCUAAUUCAAAAAAUAUGGGAGUAACCAGUAUUGAAGGAGUGAUGAAAAGAGACAUUAUAUAUCGUUGCUGGAGCUGGAAAUUGGUCUAACCAUUCUGAAACUCAAUUCUGAAUUGUACUAAAAAAAAAUUGAUUAAAAUAUCCAUCCCCAGA